CAAUUUAAAAGCAAAAUGUUUGAUUUGAUUGUUUUUUUCUCAGUGUAAAAUUGUUAUUUUUACAGCGGGACUACUCAGAACAAAAGUUAAAAAACAGUCGAACCAAUUUUAAUAUUUCGUACUUCUGGCAACACAUGCAACAAAAAAUAAUGUAGCUGGCAGCCCCUGAUGAGCUGUCAUUAUUAAAACUUGGAGAAAAAUAAGAAAAAAGUCCUUGUCUACCAUAUCAUCAUUCAACAGGUAUUUGCUGGGCAUAAACCGUUAAAACGUAUCCAUAGAGUCGUCCGUACGAAAAAAAACCCUGGAAUGCGACGAAAAAGUGCUAUAGUGUAUGUUCCUAUCCAGCCACCGAAGCAGGUAAAACAUCGCAAUACUGACGAAGCGGAAAAUCCAGAAGCACAACAACGAUGACGGAAUGAUUAACUCCAUGAAGAGCGACGCAUAAUAUUUACACUGCUCCGAUGCGAUCGUUGGUAUACGCGAAAUGGUGGGUUUUGGAAAGAAUUUACUGUGAUUCAGACACCCUUGCGAACCGGCUGCCCACUAAGUGACGCGGAUUUGGCCGGUCGGAGACACCUUCGGAGGCUCAAGAGCACACGACACGGCGACUGCUCCAGGAGGGCUUUACAAAGAUCGACCCCUACAUACGCUGCUAGAUGGUUGGCCAAAUCGUUGGAGCAGGUCGGAAUCUACCUGUGCUGUUCGGUACAUGUUGCGUUCGCCAUCCGGUUCACCGAGACGCUUCCGAUUCUGUCACUUCGGAAAAUAGUUUAAAAGAACAAAAUGAUGAAAAACAAACAAGGCUAUGGUCAUUUUGUUUACGGUUGUAAAUUGUUGCAACACACCGAAAUUCACGGCGGAAUGGAGGGUAUACAUUCGGUAGAGAUUAUAGGAGGCGAGAUAGGAGGUAGCAGCCGUAUUUUGAGCAUCAACUGUUUCGUCCGGCACAUUUUUAACAAGACGGCACGAAUAGGUACUGACCGUCCAACUACGAGGACCAUUGACUAUAAGAAUCGAAUUUCGUUUUCAUUCCGGAUCCGGUCAUCAAGAUGUUAUGUAAAGUAAAAUUGAUCAAAAUGAUGGAAAAUAAAAACGAAAUAUUGCUUUUUAAAAACUAAACAAAUCAAUGCGACAAUUGUAUUUAAAAAAUAAUAACUUGAAAUGAAAGUUUUAACAUCCUGUUGUUUUGAAAGUAUCUUGUUGAUUUGAAAAGAAAAACACAUUUUAUUUUAAGACGAAAACUCUUGUUUUGACAAUAAA